rnacentral:pre_miRNA from 1 species
AGGUCUGUGGUUGUAAACAUCCCCGACUGGAAGCUGUAAGACACAGCCGAGCUUUCAGUCAGAUGUUUGCUGCUACUGGCUC